rnacentral:tRNA from 1 species
AGUUUAAAUAGAGCAUGAGACUCUUAAUCUCAGGGUCGUGGGUUCAAGCCCCAC